UCGAACGCGAAAGUUUCCUUCGGGAAGCAAGUAGAGUGGCGCACGGGUGAGUAACACGUAGGUAAUCUACCUUUGGAUGGGGAAUAACAACCGGAAACGGUUGCUAAUACCGCAUAAUGCAGCGGCACCUAAUGGUGACAGUUGUUAAAGCGGGGGAUCGAAAGACCUCGCGUCUAAAGAGGAGCCUGCGGCGGAUUAGCUAGUUGGUAAGGUAAUGGCUUACCAAGGCCACGAUCCGUAACCGGCCUGAGAGGGCGGUCGGUCACACUGACACUGACAUACGGGUCAGACUCCUACGGGAGGCAGCAGUCGGGAAUUUUGGGCAAUGGGCGAAAGCCUGACCCAGCAACGCCGCGUGAAGGAUGAAAUCCCUCGGGAUGUAGACUUCGCAAGAAUGAGAAGAAUAAGUAGGGGACAAUACCCCCUAUGAUGACGGUAUCAUUUGUAAGCUCCGGCUAACUCCGUGCCAGCAGCCGCGGUAAUACGGGGGGAGCAAGCGUUGUUCGGAUUUACUGGGCGUAAAGGGCGCGUAGGCGGUCAGCACAAGUCAGUUGUGGAAUCUCCGAGCUUAACUCGGAAAGGUCAACUGAUACUGUGCGACUAGAGUGCGGAAGGGGCAACUGGAAUUCUUGGUGUAGCGGUGAAAUGCGUAGAUAUCAAGAGGAACACCUGCGGC
rnacentral:rRNA from 1 species